rnacentral:lncRNA from 1 species
GCAGGUUCUGAUCACCUACUGCAGCGUCCUUCCUGAUGUACAAGCUCAAAAUCGGCCACUAGUAGAGAAUUGACCUUUAGUCCCGGUUGAUAGGGUACAAAUCUCCCGAAAAUCCAUCCGGGAUAAAACAAUCGGGACAAAAGGGGGUCCUUUUGUCCCGGGUCACUCAACCGGGACAAAAGACCCUCUUUUAUCCUGGUUGGUGUUUCAAACCGUAAUAAAAGGCCUCUCAGGGUCUUUUUUUCCCACUAGCCUUUGCAACCGGGAUAAAAGGUCCCGGUUGGUGAGCUCCCCACCAGUGAUCGAGCUUUAGUCCCGGUUGUUGAAACUUUUGUCCCGGGCCAACUUUAAACCGGAACAAAAUGGGGCGCAUCGAAAGCCAAUUCUCUACUGGUGGGUGUACCUACGACAAUCUUUGAUAUUUGAUUAAGGACGGACUUCUGGCGAUCUACCGAUCCUCUCUAGUUUAGCUUGAUUAGUACUCCCAACAUUCUCUUUAUUUUGAUAGGCUUUCCAUGACUGCCCCAUGCUAUAGCAAAAGAACAGUGGGUUGAUAGGUGAAUAUCCAUGAAUUGUUCAUCCUAAAGAACUGUUGUCCCUUCUACUUCUCUGGCUCCCAUCUCCUCACCAGCUGUUCAGUUCAUGUAAGGGGGUGUUUGGAGGAGGGGGCUAAAUUUUAGCCUUCAUCACAUCGAAGGUUUGGACACUAAUUAGGAGUAUUAAACCUAAACUAAUUACAAAACUAAUUACAUAACCUCUAGCCUAAAUCGUGAGACGAAUCUAUUAAGCUAAUUAGUCCAUGAUUUGACAAUGUGGUGCUACAGUAACCAUUCGCUAAUGAUGGAUUAAGUAGGCUUAAUAGAUUCGUCUCGUGAUUUAGCCUAAGGGGUUCUGCUAUUAGUUUUAUAAUUAGCUUAUAUUUAGUUCUCCUAAUUAGCUUCCGAACAUCCGAUGUGACAGGGUUAAAGUUUAGCCUCUAUUUCCCAAACACCCCCAAAGCACAAGCUUGGUGGAUAGGCUGAUAGGUUCUUUUAGGCCUGUCAGUUACACAAACACUAGGAUCCUCUUCUCUCUCACGUCGCUCUCGCCCGAGGGCGACUUGGGGCUCUCACCUCGCCACCAGAGGCCCGCUCAAGCUGCUCGGUGACGGCCGCCACCGUCGGCGGCGGUGGCGGCAAAGAAGGCGGUCGCGCGCCCCCUUCUCUCCUUCCCUCCCCCUCUCCUCCCCUCACCCCCACCACUCAAGGUGGCCCACCACCGCUUCCCUUCCCCGCCCACGGCCCACGCCAGCGGCCUUCUCCGCUUCGCCUCCUUCCCUCUCCUCCCUUCCCUUCCCCCCUCCUCUUGGUGCUCGGGAAACCCUAGAUCCAGGUGGGUCCGGGGUGACCUCCGCCUCUGGUGCCGGCGGGCUGCGGUGGGCACGACCAGGACCGGGCUCGGCCGCGUCGGUGCCGCCGCCACCUCCCCUGCCUCCAACGGUGGUGGGCCGCAGCGGGCGCCAGGGCUCGGCUCGGCCAUGCUUGGUCCGGCCCUCCCGACGGCCUAGGCCCUCACCACUGGUUGGGGCCGCCACCUCCGCGCCCGGCGCCUCCAUUGCCUCCGCUGCCUCCAUCUCCAGUGGGUGCGACGGGCGCCGGUGCCGACCUUGGCCACGCCUGGCUCGGCCGCUCCGCUGUCCUGGGCAGCCGCCCCAUCUCCCGACGCUGCUGGCCCCUCCCUGCGCUCCUGAGGCGGGGCGACUGUCGCUGCCACGUCCGGCGUCGAUGGAUCCGCUUCCCACCAGCGCGGGCUGCCCUCCCCGGGGCAGCACGGGGGCUCCCUCGCGCCGCCGCCGCUCGCUCUCUCCCUCCUUCCUCCCUUCCCUCUCCUAGCCCUCUUCUCCCACAUGCUACCGACAGCUCCCCACCUGCGCCUUCCCCCGCUGCCCAGCCCCUCCCCCGGGCCUGGACAUGAGGACUAGGCUGCAAGACCUUGGGCUCCGCCUUCGGGGGUCCUCAAUGACUACAGCCGCUGGUGGAAUCAAGCUUGGUGGAGGGAAUCAAGUUGGAAGCCAAAGCCAUGAAGGGCCAAGCUUGGGGGCACUGCCCUUGCUCUCGAUUGGAACGAGGACGGCGCGGUUCGUACAACGACGUGGAGGAGCGGAGGCGGUGCGGCUCGUGGUUGAUGCCACAUUUUUUGUGCCAUUAAACUAAGUGUUUUCAGACAUAUCUUAUACUAACCUGCUACUUAGCACUUGAAAUAACCCCAUAUUCGCCUAUGUAUUGUGUUUUGAACCAUAUUGUAAAAUAAUAAGAAAUACGACAUAAAUGAAGGGUUUUUCUACAAGUUGUACUUGGGCUCGGACUUUGGAUAUUGGAAGGCCCAAACACAAACAUUGAACUGCAGGCCCGUAGGAGGAGCUAAAACUUGCACGGGUCAUAUCUUCCUAAUCCGAACUUCGAUUGGGGUGAAUUUACAAGGAAAAUUGCAUGGCUCAACAAGAUCUACAAGUUUCGUAUGAAGCGCUCGGGCAUUGGAGGCCAAUAGAGGGUGUGCCGAUAGGCCUGGCCCGUUUUUGGUCCCGAUCAUCGUGCCCUUUCAUCAGGAGGAAGCUCACGACGUUCCUAGGGUUAUUUUCCAGAAACUUGGCUUCAAAGGCACCCCAACCGAUACCGCCAACUAUAAAUACCAAGGACUUUCAACAAGGAGGGGGAUUCCGACGAGUUUAGAACUAGCAACCGCUGCCACAAGAGAAGAAAUAGGGAUUAGAUUUGAUCAGGAGCUUCGUCGUCGAAGGGGACCUCUAGAGGAGGGAGGAAACCCCUAGGCUGAUUGGCCUGAGGCCCUCGUGCCUCCCCUCGUCUUCGUCUUCGGUCAGGGUGUUCUCCAGGUGCUCCGUACCCCUUUAUUUGUCAACAUGUGUAAGAUCAUGGGGUAAAGCGUCUGUUUAUCCCUAGGAUUGUUAUGGUCCUUGAUAUAUAACUGCUACAUGUUCUUUAUGCCUAUUAAUGCAUCAUGGUCUAUGUCGUUGCAAUGCUUUGUUUAUAUAUGUGAGCUCUUGUUCUGUACAACAUAUAUUCUUAGUAGAGUUUUUGGUAAUCGUGGUGAUUAGCUUAACUCUGCGGAUGCUUCGAUAUAGUGUGUGUGAGCGAGGCGUUGAGUAUCCCUGCGUAGUGAUAAUAUGCAGGAGGGAAAAGGUCGAGCGAGCGUGUAACUGCUGUGAUAGCUAGUGAGGGUAGCAUCCAUCUGUGUAGUAGAUGCAUAUUCUUGUGAACCUAGAUCCUAGGGAGGGAACGCUUAUAUCUAUCUCUAUGUUCUAUCUUGUGUUAACCUUUUCUAUAUUAUCUCAAUCUCUGUUAUUAGUUUCGUUUGUCUCUCUACACAAUACAUACACUCAGUUUCGUUAGCAAGAUUAGUGUAAAGUGAGAGCCAGCAAUCCACUUGUUCCACGGAUUGAUAAACCUUGGAGGAAAUACUCUACGGAAAAAGCCUUCAACUGAUCCGUGCGCUUGCAGUUCAUGAAUUGGUGCGCUAACUACCGUCAACACUUAUACAACAAUGCGUGGAGGAGCGGGGCGGCGCUGCCGGCCCAUGCAUUGCAGAGGAGUGGGGAUGGCGCGGCAUGAGCGGCGACGCAGAGGAGUGGGAGCAGCACGACUAGCUCAAUUGGCGCUGGUGCCCGCUCGAUCGGCUGCCGGCGAGCCGUGCGAAGGUGGUAGCCGAUAGGGAUGAGAGUGGUGGGGAUGAUUCCAUGCGAGCGCGCGAGGGAGGAAUGAAGGCAACAGAAAAGUAGGGGCUUCUCUCUCCACCCUAGGAGAAGGGGCCAGAGAGGAGAAAGUAGGGGCCUCCCUAGAAUAGAGACCUGAGUAGAGGCCUUGCUGGAGUGCGUUUUUUGCACUUGAUCCGUACUUUUUGAGUAGGGGUCUGAGUAGGGACUCUGCUGGAGUUGCUCUUAGAAAGAGAGGUUUAAUUUGAGGAUAAUCUUGUUAUUAGUAUUGUAACAUUACUAAGUGUCAAACUAGAUUCAAGUUAUAGAGCAACACAUACAUUCAACUCACACGCAUAACAUGGAGUUCUGACAUUUUUCUUUUAUGCAUGCCCAAUACAUAUGCCGUAUCUUUAAGUGACAAAUCAAAGGAAAAAUAUUGUUUGUGCCUUCUAAAUUGUUUUAUAAACUAUAGAUCUUCCAAAAAAUAAAAUCGUUUGGGUCCUCAAACAACAUUAGAAGUGAAAGUAGGAGUUCCAAAUUUUAAUUCAUUUCAACUUUCUUGGAGAGUCAAAUUAUUUCAUGUUUGAUCAAAUAUAUAGAUAGAGGUGACCACAAAGAUUUAUAGCACCAAAUAGAUAUACUAUAAAAAUAUAUUCACUGUUGGGGAAUGCGCCUUCACUACCGGGUUCAAAUCCCCCUUAGUACCGGUUGUGCAACCGGUAUUACUAUUAUGAUCUUUAGUACCGGUUGUUUAUACCACUGCUCCAACUUCCAAAAGCACCUGCUUCUCCAAGAAUCACAAGAGCUUGCUUCACCAAGAAUCAUAACCACAAAUUCCUUGCGCGCACACGGAUUUCACAAGAAUCACAAAAAAAAUCCCAAUCACAUGAAUCACAAUAAGAAUCACAAUCACAAAUUUUACAAGAAUCACAGCACGAAUCACAAGAAUACAUUUUACAAGAAUCACUAUCACACAUUUCACAAGAAUCACAGAAAGAAUUAAAAAAUCAGAGUUCAUAUGAGAGCUUCGCCUACGCCAUUGGGCCUCCCAAUGCGCCUCCUCACCCACUUGCCCGCAAGCGCCGCCGGGCCUGCUCACCCGCUCGCCACAGCAGUGGCCGGCGCACCGGCGGCAGCCAGAGGACAGGCCGCGCCGGAAGCGGUCGGGCCCGUGUGCUUGCAGGGACCGGUGGCCCGUGCGUCGGUAGGGGCCCGUGCACCAGCUGCGACCGGGGAGGCCCCCUGCGCCCUCGGUGGCCGGCAGCUGGGGGGGCCUGCGCCCCGCGGUGGCUGGCGGCCAGCAUCCCCGGGUGCCGGCCGGGGAGGCCCCCUGUGCCCGUGGUGGCCGGCAGCGGCCAGGGGGGAGGGGGGCUGCACCCUCGGUGGCCGACGACCCGUGCAGCGACCGGGGAGGCCCCUUGCGCCUGCGGCAGUGAGAGAGGAGAGGGAGGAGAGAGGAGGCUUUGUGGAGGGAGGAGUGGCCGACACGAUAAGGCCGGUGGUGUGGGUGGGAAGAUAAACAAUAAGGCCGAGUGGGUGGGGAGAUAAGGGAGAGAGAGAAGUCAAAAAAAACUUUUUAGUACUAGGUGGAGGCUUCACCCGGUUAUUUUCCCAAGAGAAAUAUUCAAAAUUUCUUCGCGUAUGGCGUAAUAAAGUACGACCGUGCCAGUAUACUAUAGUAUACAAAUAAAUAAACAAAUCACACAGAAACACAAUAAAAUGGGAAAACUUGCUUUCUUUAUUCAUCUCUCAAGAAACUUGCAAGUCUCCUCUCCUUUUACAUAUAUUUCUACAUAGCACCUCAAGGUAUAGACGAUUGCAUAGUUCCUAAAUCCUAGAGCCUCGCAAGAACUCUAGUUAAUUACAUCCAUAGGUUUGAACCUGUGGAAUGCCUCCGAUUAUGCUGCGUCAAACGAUCAUCAUCAUUAAGCAUCUUAUCCUGUACUCCAUAGAUGAAUGGAGCGUAAAAGAAACAACAAAAAGAAAUGAAGCCGAGCGACUUGAUGCUAUAUUUCACCAUGCCUCAUGUACAGUAAAAGCUCCUGAGGUGAAUGCGUUCGGCCUCGGCGGUCUUGAACGGAUUUUAUCCCGCCCCAUCUGUCGGCGCAUAAUAGAAAUUUCCAACCUCGUUGGUCACGGGAAGCUAGUGAUAAUAAAUUAAUAGAUCCGAGACGUUUUAGCUAAACACGACCGUCACAAAAUAUAACAUUUCAUCUGUAUACUUUAUUUCCUUUCUCCUUUCUUGGCAGACCUGCAUAUAGAAUCUAGGCACUUAUCAAUACCAUGGCAUGAUCUAUUGUAUAGAUCGAUUAGCCUUGUGGCGUGUGCCCGCGAGCACGACCGUUGAUUUUAUUAUCCGUGUGAAGCCUCCUGUACCUGCAAAGUAUCUGGCACUGCCAUCUUAAUGGCGUGCUAAUCUGUUGAUCUAUUUCUUUUAUGUAAACACCGCCGUAGAGAGAUGUGAUCUCCCAAUCCUUCGUACACCUACGAAAUAAGAAGCAUGUCCGCGCUGCCCUGGGACAACUUUCUCUUGAAACCUGCAAAGUGUAUAUGGGUGCCAGCCUCCUGGCAUUUCUUUCACCAGCAACCAACAUGCAUCGAGCGCUCACAGCCCUGCCAUUGUAGGCAUAUCCCUGCAACAGAAGAACAAAACUAACAGACUCCCUAGGCCAUGCCGAUUACUCACGAUCAGACAAUGCCAUAGGCAUGCAUGGUGGAGAAGAAGCAUCGAUGAGGACGAAGCCGGCCUUUCCGAGAUGACGAGAUCCUACCUUGACUCGCUCGCGACGGCGAGGUCGAUCUGCAGGUGACGAUGAUUUUGGUGGAUGAAGAAGGAUGUGUGAUUGUGUGCUGGUGGAUGGUGAUGUAUGUGCGCGUGUCACCUCCUCACCUUUUCACCUGCAGCACCGAAGGCAAUAUAUAGAGGGAGGGUAAGUGACGCCCAGCCAGGCAUCUGGGAGUUGAACGCUGCCGCCAUUCAGUUCAUCGUGGCCCGAGAUAAGAGCAAGCCGUUGAUUGUUCUCCGCUCUGCAUUCAAGCUUCCGUUUAAAACUCCACGCACGCUAGUGACCAUGCAAAGCGUGGCCCGGGAUAAGAGCAAGUCAUUGAUUUCUCUACGCACUGCAUGCGAGCUCCCAUUUAAAAUUCCAACGCUAAAGACCAUGCAUGCAAUCUGAACGUGAUCGUACCCCAGCCUGAAGGUUUUUCAAAUCAUUAACCACUAGUAGAGAAUUGUGCUUUAAUCCCGGUUGGUAGGGUGCAAAUAUCUCGAAAAUGCAUCCGGGAUAAACCAACCGGGACAAAAGGGGGGGUCUUUUAUCCCGGGUCACUCAACCGGGACAAAAGAUACCAACCGGGAUAAAAGGGUCGAGAGCGCCGACACUGCAAAAAAAAAAAUCCCGAGCUCCUAGUCACGCGAUUUUUCACGCGAAAUAUGCGCGUGCGCGGUUCGUGGGAGGAUUCGAACCCACAACCUCCAGCCUCGCGUGUAGCUUCCUUGCCAUCCCACCUACACACCACAUCUAACUAUGUAGGGGAUACUAUCCUUUUGUAUUAACUCGUGGGGACCCUUUUAUCCCGGUUGGAAACACCAACCGGGAUAAAAGACCCCCUUUUAUCCCGGUUGGUGUUUCCAACCGGGAUAAAAGGGUCCCCCCGAUUUAAUCCCCUUCCAGUCACCUUCCAGUUACCUCGUUGGGGGCCCUUUUAUCCCGGUUUGAAACACCAACCGGGAUAAAUGACCCCCUUUUAUCCCGGUUGGUAUUACAAACCGGGAUAAAAGGCUCUUGACCCUUUUAUCUCGGUUGGUGUUACCAACCGGGAUAAAGGGGGGGUCUUUUAUCCCGUUUGGUGUUUCAAAUCGGGAUAAAAGGCCUCUUAGAGUCUUUUUUUCCCAUUAGCCUUUGCAACCGGGAUAAAAGGUUCCGGUUGGUGAGCCCCCCACCAGUGACCGAGUUUUAGUCCCGGUUGGUGAACCUUUUGUCCCGGGCCAACUUUAAACCGGGACAAAAGGGGGCGUAUGGAAAGCCAAUUCUCUACUAGUGAACGUUCCGGUGGGUAGUUGUAUACGUAUAUGUACAGUCGUUAGCAUAUAUGAGCUGCACAUUAAAAGAAGUUCCUUGACGAUUUGGGCUGGACCUGGCGGGUAGUUGUAUACGUAUACGUAUAGUCGUUAGCAUACAUGAGCUGCACAUUAAAAGAAGUAUCUUGACGGUUUGGGCUGGGCCUUGGAACGUGAAUCACCUGCAUUAGAAUAUUUCAAGGGUCUUUGUGUAUGUGUAUAUGUAUGCAGCUAGCUUGCACUUGAGUGUUUGCACACACGUAUACUUCCUUAGUAUACUUAGCCAAUUAGGCUUAAGUGUUAAUUCUAAAUAUUUUAAUGACAUAUGAUGGUAAUCUAAAUUACCAUAUUUAUCAUAUGAAUUGAAUCGUAUUAUUUGACAUGACAAAUUAUAGUCCCUCAGGCACAUUAGUACCAGUUGGAGGUUUCAAUCGGUACUAAUUGGUAACCUUUAGUACCGGGUAAAACCUCCACCCAAUACUAAAGGGGUCACGGGGGCUCCUCGUCAACUAGCCGUUAGACCCGGUACUAAUGCUCACGUUAGUACCGGGUUAAAAACCAACCAGUACUAAGGCUGAGGAUGAAUGCUCAGUUUUUCAGUAGUGAUUUGAUGAAGAAACUAAUAGUACUUAUUUUGUAUCAUGAAUGUUAGUAAUUUUUUGUAUAAAUUUGAUCAAACUUGAAAUGUUUUGACUUUUCAAGAAAGUUGGAAUAAUUCGCAAUUUGGAAGGGAGGGAAUAUUAGACUUGUCUCGACUCUAGCUUGUGAGGCAUCCAUAGCUGACCAGGCAAAGGCAAUUCUUGCUGCAGCAAACAAUUAGGAGAAGAAGAUUAGAAUUAGGCAAUAACUAGGGUUAGUUGAUGUAUGAGACAUGUAACAAUUUUUGUACUUACCCUAUGUAUCAGUCUUCUUAUUUGCCUCUUGUUCCUUUAACUUUUGCAUUCUUGGACUGAGUUCAUCCACCCUCUGCUGGACAUGGUCUGGUAAAAUGAUUGUCUCACCAUCCAUUUGAAGCUCAUCGAUAUUGGGAAUGUAUAACUCACAAUCGAAUUUGUUGAAGCCGUAUAUGAUCCAUGCUGUGAGGUCAUAGUCUUUGUGGAUGAGACGACAUCAAGAGCACCUACUCUGCUCCCUGCAAACGCGACGGCAUUCUUCAAUGUCUUGAACACCGUGUACUUUACCGCAACGUUUGCACAAACACAGGUCAUCGUCUUUGCCUUCGGAAUCAGGGACGAUGAGCAAGUCCAUGGAGUGAUCGUCGUCCUUCUCCGACGCGAUGACCUAUGAGCUCUCAUCCACUGAACCUGCAUCAACGAACGCCGGUGCAACGACCUUCGAGCUCCCAUCCAUGGAGCCUGCGUCCAUGGUGCAGCUAGUAAUAGCGCGUGGUGAGUGAGAGAGGCGGAGCAGCUAGCAACAGCGCGCGGCGAGCAAGAGAGGGGCAGAGCAGCGCGCAGCGCGGUUUAAAGAGCAGCAGGGAAGACGAGAGGGCAGUGUGGCGCGGUUUAAUUGCCGCCUCGGGAGCGAGCACGUCCAAGCUCGGGAUCGAGCUACGUCAAUGCAUGCGUGAGGGCAAUAUAGUUCAGAAUGGACGAAAAUUAUCAGAACGACCUGUGAUUUGAAAUUGGGAGUUUCUCCGGAACGACCUCUAAUUCGAAACCAGAGGGAGUACCUUGCAACAUGCAUCUACGAUCUACCAAUGUGCUAAUUCUUCUUUAUUUCCAAUAUGAGUUUUGUCCAACAAAGUCACCUGAUGGGUUGGUCACGCGUGCUCAUGCCUACUAUACCGCACAAUUGACUUUAGAAAGUGAUCCUAAAAGCAAAAACGAAGGGUCAAAGACUCGAGCUACGAAUGCAUCGCUGCUCUGGGCUAUGGGAGCCGUGCAAAGUGCGAGAUAUCCAGGCUUUCCAUCCAAUUGUAAGAUCCCUGCAGGCCCCAGCCAGGUACAGGCACAGCAGCUCGGUGGCCAGCUGCAUAUGCAUGCGUACGCCAUCCUGACAUGGGGUAGGGAGGGACACGUCCAAGCACGGACGCCAGAAGUGCCAGCAGCGUUGCAGUGCGCAGCAAGCCAGUGCCAGUAGUAUAGUAGCGCCGUCGCAGUAGGGGCCCCCAGGCCAAGCCUCCACUGAUCCGGCAGGUUUUCGCGGUCCAGCUUCGGAACCCAACAAGCAAGACCCGCCGGCAUCCCAGACCUGAGCUGACGCGACCGCCGUCCGUUUCCCCAUGGAUGGGAUGCAGCGCGAACACGCGACCCGGCGCGGAUGGGUGGCGAGGAAUGAGCGCUGCGACAGCAUGUUUGCCUUUUGCGAGCCGAGCACGGAUCGACGGCGAAUUUGGCAGCAGCGCUGAGUGGGCGGAGGAAGCGGCCGCGCUGGCGAGCGCGUCGGCGUGUGGUGGUGGUGGUGGCCGGGCUCGGGCAGUGUGGCCGCUACGCUACGCUACGUUUCUCAUCAUCCCGUGACACCUGAAUCGCACGUCCGCUGGGCGCAGCCGCGCAGGCCAGGCCACUCGCAUCGCGCACCCAGACUUCGCGCGUGUAUUUUCGUCCGCGCGACACGGGACCUGCCCGCCGGUUGUCCAUCUCUGCCACUCUCGCGGUGCCUUGUGGCUUGCUGGGAGCUUUGCUUACAGGCGCUACGGCUCCGUCGAAGCAACAAGGGCAUACAAGAUCGAACACAGCGGCGAAAACGUUCAAAUGUGUGCCCGGAAAUGAAUCGGGUAUAUUAUCCGUACUGCUACUGCUGCUAACUGCUAAGUUCAAAUGAACAAGUGAUGCUAUUGAUCAGAAGUAGUUUUUUGGACGAACCGGCACGAAAAGGUGGCAAUUUAAUUGCAUUGCAUAUAAAAGGCCGAACCGGCACUAAGUUCAAAUUAACAAGUGAUGCUAUUGAUCAGAAGUUUUUACACCAUUUCAUUUCUGGGAGACUGGAAGCGAGGAAAUGCUAAAAGGCCGAAAAAGAGAAAGGGAUAGACGACUACUCUCGGAAGUGAGAGAGAUUGAUGGUGCCAUACAUGUUCAAACAAGUCACAUGGAUUUCCACUUAUAUUUAAAAUAUGACUAAAAACACGGUACGACUAAGAAAGCUACCUUAGAAAAUAAUAGCUUCAAAUGUAGAGAUACCUCAAUAUAUUGGUAUUUUUUAUUAUCACUUGAUGAUGCCCAAAUACUUUCUUAUCUGCGAUGACAAAAAUAAAAAGCUUGCAAGCACUAUUAUCAACGCAUACUGUGAAGCAUAAUGGCUUACAUUUUUUUGCAUCGACUAUUAUAGCAUGAAAUAAAACUAACUUAUUAAUCAUCCAAUCACAUAAACAAUUCGGUUACAUGAACCAUACCAGGCCAACAGUAAAUUCCAUCCUGAUCUCCCCCACACUGCCACCGUAGUACUACUAAGUUCAAGCGAACAAGUGAUAUGAUAUUGCUAACUAUAUUGAGUCUAGUCAUAGGCCAACAAUAAAAUUCAUCCUGAUCUCCUCCACCCCACCACCGUAGUACUACUAAGUCCAAAUGAGCAAGCGAUCAUAUGAUACUGCUAAUUAUAUUGAGCCUUGUCACAUGGAUUUACAUUUAUAUUUAAAAGUACACCUGGGAACAACUUAAAGAAGGUAUACUCUACCCGCAAAAAAAAAGUAUACUCGAUAUGGCUACCUUACUGGUUUGGGGGUCAAACUGGGUUGGAACGGGUUCGACCCUGACCUCAUCGACUCACGUUUGGUUAAAAAUGCAUCUGGGUUGGGUCAGACCAGGAGAGAAUAUUCCUCCUAGAUGCGAGUCGAAUGCAUCCGUCCAAAACGAGCGGACGCACUCGACCCGCAUGCAUGUCAUUGGCGUCCGUUUCACGCGUGAGGAGAGGGAGGCGCAGAGGAGUGUGAGGAGGAGGCCAGCGCGAGCAGAGGGACGGCGGCCGGCGCGGGGAGGGGGAGCGGCAACCGGUGCAGGGGGACGGAGGGGUGGCGACGUGGGGGAGAGGGAGGAACGGCGGCGCGGAGGAAAGGGAGGGUGGCCAGAGGAAGAAGAUAAGGUGAGUGAGGAUGACAUGUGGGCCCCGCAGCUGAUAGGUAGGACCCGUUGCUACCGGUGUUAAAAUGGCAUCCAUCCCAUCCCUCACAACAUCUCCAACUAAACAAAGGACCGGAACAAACCCAUCUCUUUCAUCAAAUACGAGACGGGUUGCCACUUGAUCCCAAAACCAAACACAUACUAAGAGCUCCAAAUAUAAAAUAUAAGAGUAGCUCAAUAUCACACCGUUUUCCAAUUACUUGAUGCAUAGAUGCUUUCUUACCUUCCACCAUAAAAAAGUCUAGAUGCACAUUAUCAUCGCAUAUUGUGAAGACAUACAUAAUGACUUUCACUUCUUGUUUCAGCUAAGAUAGCAGGAAAUAACUCUUAGCUUAUUAAUUCAUCUCUAAUCACAUAGCAGCUUCAGUUACGCUAAUCAGGCUAGUCCAACAAUAAAACCCAUCUUGAUCUCCCACACCACCAUCCUUCCAAGUUACAAGCCCAGUUGGUCCCUUGUUUUUUUUGUUCUUUUGAAAAUACCAGCUGGUCCCUUGUGCGCGUACCAAUUUCGUGAUCGCGUUCGUCCUUGUUGUGCUUCCCCUCUAGAACCCGCCGCUUACAUAAGUGGAGGGGGCGCCCACCCGGCGGCACCCCACGGGCGCAGCCGCUGCCAGACAGCCAGAGCCAAAACCCCGCACCACCUCCUCUGCUCCGCCGUGCUCCCGCACUCUAUUCCCAUCGCACCAUUCCCCUCCCACUUUCCAUCUCCUCCACGAAACCCACUCGCUCUUCGAGCAAAAUCCUCUCACGCUCACGUCCCCCGCCGUUGCUCUCUGGCUAGCUAGCGCCCAUCUCCAGCUCCGCGGGUGUCGGCUCGCCACCAACCUUGGACAACUUAUUGUUCCUCCCCUCCAUUUGCUCCAGCGAAGCCCUCCGCAGCAGGCUCUCGCUCAGCGCAAUGGCAGGCGGCAAUGCCGGUGCCGCCGCCGCUCGCCUCGUCUUCUCCUUCGUGGGCUUGCUCGUGCCGCUGCUGGUCGCCGGCGACGACCCCUACCGGUUCUUCACGUGGACGGUGACCUACGGCGACAUCUACCCGCUCGGCGUCAAGCAGCAGGUGCGCUAGCUAGUUACAUUCUGCCUGGUGUUUUUCCUGUCGUCGUCGGUCGAUCCGGGCUCGCUGUUGAAGCAAAGGAGAUUGCUGAAGGCAGCGGUGGGUGAUGGGAUUUUGUAACUGCAGGGGAUCCUGAUCAACAACCAGUUCCCGGGGCCGCAGAUCGAGGCGGUCACCAACGACAACCUCAUCAUCAACGUCUUCAACAAGCUCAACGAGCCGUUCCUCCUCUCCUGGUACUGCCCCGUGACCCUCUCCCUGAUCCAGCCAUUACUUUCACUGCAUCUUCCCCUUGUCCGCUUACGCUGCUCGUUCGAGAUCGCUGUUAAUUCAUCUCGAACUAGGACUGUAGUAGUAGUAUUCAUCAGUCCGGUACGGCAUUUAACAUUUUAACUACUUCCUGCUCUGAUUCCAACAAGUGAGUGGGCAUUUUCAGUAUUUUUGUUGUGACGUUACUGAAUGCACAAUGCGGUCACAAAUCACACCCACACCAGCUGAAGUGCUGAAACUGCUCAAGUGCAGUGGUUAUUAGUUCCUGUGAGUGAGUGAGUGAGAGCGAGCUGGUCACUGUACCUACCGCCCCCAUUAAAAAACGGGGGUUCAUUAAGCAGCCUUAUUAUUAAACGGACAAAAUCACGUCGCCUACCGGUAUACAUGUGAUGUCGGCGGUUCAGGUCGACGCUUCGUGACAACUCACGGCAUCAUUGGGCGAUUAGGAUAGGGUAUUAGUGCUAGACAUGCUCUGUCAUGGGUCGUGGCUGUGACUGUGAUCCUCUGCCUGUCCUGGGGGGCUGGACCAGGGGGCCAACAAAGCAGCAGCUGCUCACUGACGACCUGCGUGCCCGACUCGUGCGCCAACCCAAGCAUGUUUUUUGCGUCGCCGAGAAUAUGCGCCGCUGGGUUCAGAAUUCAGAGCGUCACUGUAGCGGAGUCAAAUGAAUGGGACAUGUCUGUCAGUGAAACCAUAUAUCCUGCAGCAAAAUUUGGUUUGGUUGGCCACAUUCGAUUCGCCUGUACUUUUAGCCACACGGAACAGAGCGGCUGCAACAAAAAAAAUCCAUGCACGCAGCGCUGCAGGCAUGCGGACGAGGCGUUCAGAUCGGAUCUAGCCAUCUAGGCCCAAUCUCUUCCUCUCUGUGUUCUUCCCCCUGUCCUGGAGUAUUCCUGUGGCUGUGCAAAUUAUCUCCCGCCAUUUUUUGGGGGUCCUGGGUCCUUAGCCGAGAGGGAAAAGCUGGCAACAAGUACGCCGGCCACAUCUCGUGAUCUCCGGCCGUGGCCCGUGCCCAGGCGUCGGCGGCGCGGCGCUGGCCAUGUGCGCCGCUUCUCUCUCUCUCUCUCUCUCUCUCUCUCUCUCUCUCUCUCUCUCUCUCUCUCUCUCUCUCUCUCUCUCUCUCUCUCUCUCGUGCGGCGCGUGCACGCGUGGGAGCCAGCCGAGCCGAGCCGAGCCGAGUCAGGCCAUGCCGUCGACGUGCCGCCUGCAUCCGCGGAAAGUUAUGACGCCCCCUCACGGGCCCUACUGUUGAUCAAUCGUCACCUGCUCUGUGCUCACAUACAACAAAAAAGAAAAAGGCAGCGGCUCGGGGAUUACCAUUUAUUCGUCCAGUAAAAACAAGACAGUCUCUGCAAUGAGCACAGUGAAAAUGCACACUUUACCUUGUCGGGCACGGGCAGUGUCGUCGGUGGACCGGCCGGUAUCGACCAGCAGCAGGUCAUCAGCCGCGGCGCGGCGCGGCACGGGCCGGUCUCCGGAGCCCGGUCGAGCUGGGGCUGGACCUGGCUGGGCGCCAUAAUGUCGUAGCGUUGGGGUUUAUUGUGGGAGGGGAGUGCGACGCGUGCAAGUUGCGACACGUUAUCUGGAGUACGUAUACGAGUAUAAUGCAGCGCACUACUACUGCAUGUGGGCAGUCGACGCGCGACGGCGACACGACGGAUCUGUAGCUGGAGGCGACGAAACAGAUCGGUAGCUCCAUGCCGGGCGGCUCGCGUGCGCCCUGGCGUGCAGGCGAUGGCGAGAUGCCAGCUGAACCGAUCGGCCCCGCGCUGGGUUGCCGCCGCGGCUGGUACGGUGGCGGAGACAACGGGAGCGGGUACUAUACGUUGGACUGUUGGAGUCAUGGAGUGGUUGCAGUUGCACGUAGUAGCAGUACAGGACUACAGGUACAGCGUCCUUGCCUUGCUGCUGGGCCUAGCAACCUAGUAGCAGGUACUACGGAAAUGCGGAGCGCCUGCCCUACCCUCACCGGGAGUUCAUCUUUCAACUCGCACGGGAAGUUUCCAAAUGUCCAAUUUCACCUUUCAGCUGGCCCUGAAGGGGGCCAAUGGAAACAUUUCCUGUGAAAAAUCUGUGAUAAACCUGAUCUUUUUGUUUUCAUUUUCCCUAGCGGACAACGGUAAAAAAAAUACAGUGCAUUUUCCCUAGCGGACGGUCUCGAAUCGGUUCCCGUUUUUCUGACGAUGAGGCCGGCACCGAUGCAGGAGCGGCCUCCAGCAGCGGCGGAACUCGUUCGAGGACGGCGUGGCCGGGACGACGUGCCCGAUCCCGCCGGGCGGCAACUUCACGUACAUCAUGCAGGCCAAGGACCAGAUCGGCACCUACUACUACUUCCCCUCGCUCGCCUUCCACAAGGCCGCCGGCGGCUUCGGCGGCAUCCGCGUCCUCAGCCGCCCCCAGAUCCCCGUCCCCUUCCCGCCGCCCGCCGCCGACUACACCGUCCUCAUCGGCGACUGGUACAAGGCCAACCACACCGUACGUGCUCGUCUUCAUCAGCUUGGAAAUGUUCGUCAUCAGGGACAGGGAUCGAGCACCUAAUGUCCUCUGUUCUGACAGAGAAUCUGUUCUUUGGACUGACUGACUGACAGGAUCUGAGGUACAUGCUUGAUAGCGGCAAGGCGCUCGGCUUCCCUGACGGCCUCCUCAUCAACGGCCGGAGUUGGAACGGUUACACCUUCACCGUCGAGCCUGGUAAGCCACCUCCAUUGAUCACUGCAUAUAUCUUCCCGUUCUUCAUCAGAACUCUGAAUUUUUCUGCCAGAGUUUUAACUGACUGAACACUGAAAGUCUGAAAAAAAAAAUCGGUGCAUUGCUUUGCAGGCCGGACGUACCGUUUCCGGAUCAGCAACGUGGGCCUGGCGACCUCCCUGAACAUCCGUUUCCAGGGCCACACCAUGAAGCUGGUGGAGGUGGAGGGCUCCCACACCAUGCAGACCACCUACUCGUCCCUGGACGUGCACCUCGGCCAGUCCUACUCCGUGCUCCUCACCGCCGACCAGCCCGGCUUCGACUACGCCGUCGUCGUCUCCACGCGCUUCACCACCAAGAUCAUCUCCACCACCGCCGUCCUCCACUACACCAACUCCGCCGGCAAGGCUCCCGGGCCCCUCCCCGGCGGCCCCACCAUCCAGAUCGACUGGUCCCUCAACCAGGCCCGCUCCAUCAGGUUGGUAUCACUGGUUCAGAGUUUUAUUCAGACAAGUUCGGAGUUUCAGACUGGUGCUCACCUGGUGCUAUGCUAUCUGCCCACUCGCAACCAGGUGGAACCUGACGGCGAGCGGGCCGCGGCCCAACCCGCAGGGCUCGUACCACUACGGCCUGGUGCCCGUGACCCGGACCAUCAGGCUGGCCAACUCGGCGGCGAUCAUCAACGGCAAGCAGCGCUACGCGGUGAACAGCGUGUCGUACGUGAGCCCGGACACCCCGCUCAAGGUCGCCGACUACUACAAGAUCGGCGGCGUCUUCUCGGUGGGCACCAUCGCCGACAGCCCGAGCUACGGCAGCGCCUACCUGCAGACGUCGGUCAUGGGGGCCAACUACAGGGACUACGUCGAGGUCGUGUUCGAGAACAACGAGGACGAGGUGCAGUCCUGGCACAUCGACGGCUACGCCUUCUGGGUCGUUGGGUAUGAUUGGACAUUGCCUCUACUUUGUUUCUUUCUUUAGAGUUACUGAUCGUUUCUACUCUCACGAGAUGAGAAUGACUGGAUGUGGAUUUGUGUGUAGAAUGGAUGGGGGAAAAUGGUCGCCGGCGAGCAGGCAGGGCUACAACUUGAGGGACGGCGUUUCCCGGUACACUGUUCAGGUACGAUGCUCUGCUCUCUUCUGAAUACAUACAUGAUACAUCUCACUCUUGAAGCAGAAACUGUGUUUUGCUAAAUACAGUAUGUCCUUAAAAAAUUGGCUGGAAAUGAUAGUGAUAGUAGGAGUUGACGAAUGUGAUCUAAAAUAUUGUUUGUUCAAAAAUGUGAUCUUAUAUGAUUCAUUCAAGUCUUUUCCAUUAUUACAAGUCUGCGGCGCACUAUAGAGGCGCAUUAUUCGGUUCACGCAUCCAACUUGCCCAUUCAGCCGCCAUGCUGGAUAAGAUCUUUUAGAAACGAUGUGGUGAUCAAUCCCCAUCAGGAAAGGCCUAGUGUCAUGUUUGGAAGCUGUGGACUCUGCUUUCGCCUGCCUAACAGCUCUGAAGUGGCUAUCGCACUUCACUCUCUUGAUGACUUCUUCACCAUGGAAUAUGCUACCGUGUUGAACCAGUAAUCGUGUGGGAUGGCUUUGGCUGAGUGCUAUGAAAAUGACUGGUCUGCAUUUUUCUAAGAAAAGUUUCACACAUCUAGAUACUCUUAAUGCUGUAAUGUCAAACUAAAAUGUAAAUUCACGCUGGUACUUUGACACAUUCUGAAGUGGAUCACAAUUAACAAACUCACAUCAAUUCUUUCUUUUCUUUGUUUUGCGUAAUGAUGAUAAUUUGAUGCUGUGCAUCUCCAUCAGGUUUACCCAAGAUCAUGGACGGCGAUCUACAUGCCCCUGGACAACGUGGGCAUGUGGAACGUCCGGUCGGAGAACUGGGCCAGGCAGUACCUCGGCCAGCAGUUCUACCUCCGCGUCUGGACACCGUCGACGUCGUUCCGCGACGAGUACCCCAUCCCCAAGAACGCGCUCCUCUGCGGCCGGGCCGCCGGCCGCCGGACCAGGCCGCUGUGACCCGCGCCGCCGGCGGCGGCGGCGGUCCAGGGCUUGUCAUGAGAGGAUGACAUGCAUACACAUUGGCCUGGAGAAAGUAGGAACAGAAAAUUUGUUUACUCUGAAGAUUAAUGGCUCGAAGAAGAGUGAGACCUGAAUGGAGGUCUCAAACGUUGCCGGAAGCAUAUGGCAGUUAUAGUCAGAUUAGACCGUGUGAUACCACUGUUAGUGUUGAAUUGUGUCUGCAUUUUGCUCGAUUGAUUCCUCAAUUGUCUUUAGUGAUGGGUUACAUGGGUACACUACAGACAAUAUAUUGUGUGGCAUGCAUGUUGCUACGCUGAUCAAUUCUUAAUAAAGUAUCAUAUGCUUUGGAUCAUGUCGAUGACUUCAAUGGCAUGGCAGCAUGUUCUCUCUGUUGUCACAUGCAUACCGAAAGAGAUGGAAUCUUUUAUUUUUUUUAACAAAUUCUGGAGGAAUUUUGAAAAUUACCAGCGCGAUGUGUCUGCUUCCGAAAUUUACGUUGGCUGAGACUUUGGCUGCACAAAUCGUACGUGGUGAAAUCUUUCAAAAUUUCCCUUAAAAUUUGGUCGUGUCGACUGUAUCUAACACCACAUGGUUUUGCCGUUACGUCAUACCAGUGCUUGACAAAGAGGAAAGGUGUACGAGAUGGUCACGUGGGAAGGGGAAGAGGUCCCAAUUGGAGUCUUGAGGAGUGAAGAAAGCUUCUACGUACUCACGUGACGGGGAAUUUACAUGAGUGAAGAAAUGUUCAAAUGAUGAUGUGGUAUUGCGGUCGGCAAAUGAUGCAGUGAUUGCAACAACUCCUUUUUUUUAUUUGCAACAACACAUUGGGAUAACAUCACAACACCAAUUUGGGUGGAGCUAGCUUUUGUUCGGCCAGAAGAAAUCAAGAUGAAUCUUGAAAAGAUAAAUGAUGUACCCCACACAAGAACAUAUAAAACAAGCUCAGAUAGUGCCAUUUCUUGCAAAAAACAUAGAGCCAAUUUUACUAAAGACAAUCGGCAUAUCCUUUUCAGAUACAAUUUUAUAGCCAUCCGAUGAAAACCAACCUAUCCUUUUCAUAGUAUCGUACGAUAAUCACGAUGCAUCUACGACGUCUUCAUGCUCCCAGGAACUUCCCUUGUGUCGAGACAUAUCGCCAUCAAUAGAUGGUGACCACUUCAAAUAUAUCUUGCAGGAAAGCAUCAACCAAAACCUAUCCCUAUAUAUACAUCCAAUCUCACUCAAACCAAAUCAAGCAACACACAGCACAAAAACAGCUCAAAACCCCAAUCCAUGAUGAUGCUACCCCAUCCUGGCCCAGCCAUCCGACGGCCGGAACCGAUGGGAUCGAACGGUCCCAUGAAUUUCGCCCAAAAAUUCCACCCCUGCCACUACCAAAUCCCGUUUUUUAAAAUCAAAAUCGAAGGCUCCCUUCCCCAUGCUCCGGCUCCCCUUCCUGCGAAUGCGUCCUCCUGCGCUGCCCCGGGUCACUGCCAGGUAGGCCCCACCAUGCAGCAGCCGCCUCCACCGGCCCCCGCCGCCGCGUCCACCUCGUCGGCGCCGGCGCCGCAGUCGCUGGUGUCCCGCGCGCGCACAGCGAUCCACUCCGCCGCCGCACGCGUGCUCACCGACAUCAAGGCCGACCUCCGAGGUAUGCUACCCAUGCCGUCGCGCGGUCCCUCCGUCUCGCUGUUUGCUUCCCGGGUCCGAAUCUGAUGAGCUCCCGGCGGGGGAUCGGUUGUGGUGGGGCGCAGAUGCGGACGGAUCCGGCGGGCGCAGCAGGGCGCCGUCGCCGAGGACGUCCCUGGAUCGGGAGGUCGACUUGGGUGCCACGGGGCGGGAGCUGGACGUGAAGCCGCCGUCGCCGCGUGAUGAGGUAUAGUUCCUGCUAUCCGAUUGGCCGCUGCUUCGCGUGUGGAGUUGUCAGUCCGGUGCUUGCGCUGUGAUGGUGGCCGGUGAUUCGUGGUGACUGACGAGAUGGUGAGUUCGUUGUGUCAGUGGUGGUGAAUUGAUCGACUUGAGGUCAAAAUGUUACUGCUCCAGGAAAUUGAGCUGUUGGUAGUGUGCGUGUGGCUCUGUUCUGGACUUCUGGUAUCGGUGCGCAGCAGAAUUGUGAGAUUCUGAAUUGGGCAGCUCUUGGGGUCAGAAAAGUUCAGACCUUUUGGUUGGGCUUUGCUUAUUUAUUUGUUUGGCUUUGUCAGCACUCCAUGGCAUGGAUAAAAAUUCUAUUGAUGCACACUGUAGAGCUUCUUAUGAUCAUUUUUGUGUGACCAGCUGGGUCUGGGUUUGUUAAGCACAGUUGAAUGGAGCAUUCAUUUCUGGUGAAUUGGACUGGAUAUUGUUUGAAUUUGUGGGAGUAGUCAGGGACAAAUAUGCACGGUUCUGUUAUUAGUGUGAAAACCUUCUUUAAGGAACACAAAAGGCCUCUUUGCUGGAUGCUUUCAUUUUCUAAUUUCUGAUAUUUCUUUUUGUAAAUGCAAAUUACCUAGUUAAUCAGCUGCAUCUUUACGCAUGCUACUAAUAAAGCUAUAGUGCUUCCAGGUCCUAGAACUAAGCCCCUCAGGGAAUGUGGAUUCCUCAAGUAUACCAACUGAGUCAAUUUCUUCAGCAAAGCUACCUACCGUUCCUCCAACUUCAACAGUUAAACAACUGGUAGCUGCCAUUGAGUAAGUUUUUGUUGCUUAGCAUAGUUAUGGUAUCCAACAUUUCAGUUCGCCCACCCAUCAGAAAUAAGUAGUCAGUGCUACAAAGCUCCAUAAUUUCAUGUUUUGCUCGUUCUAUGAACUUGCUAUUUAUGUGAAUGGCUUCAGUUAGGCUAUUUGAAUGUUGUACAUGGGAAAUGUAUAAACCAUGUCGUGCUCUUGUAGACAUGGGAAAAAUUUCAAGUCAAUGAGUCAUAUGAGGGCUACUGGAGACCAAUUUCUGAAAGACAAGGGAGGCUUGAGCUUGUCUGUUGUUAAAUCACUUGUUCGGCGCGACAAGGAAGAAAGAUCUAGUUCUGAAUUUUUUGGUGAUGAUGAAACUCAAUCUCUGAUGUACUCCUUGUUCAAAUUAGGUAUGCUUCCACUCAAUAUGCUGAGGAUGUUAGUUUGCAUUGUCACCUUAAAGUUUGAUGCAUAAUUAUCUUUUCAGAGGAACAAUUUCCACUCGAUGGAAGUCAAUGUAACCCUGAAUUGAUUCAUUCAAGAUCUCUGUCCAAGGAUCUGCAUGGUGCACCACCUGGAAGUUUUAUUCAUCAUUUAGCAGUGGUUAUUGGCAGCAUUAGUUCUGUGCACAAGAUGGCGUUUUUCUGGCAAUCAGUUGUUCUUGAGGUGAGUAUUAUGUAGAUAAAUCGCCACUCUUAAGUUAGGAAACUACCUCGUAAUUGGUAGUGUGUCUUGGCAGUACCAUUCAGAAACACUGCAUUGUAAUUGAUGUUUCUUGGCAAUACCAAACUAGACAUGAGGAAUUUACUACGACACAUAAUUAAUUUUCAUCCCAAGAGAAUAAAGUGAGCAAUCAAUAAAAUUUAAACGCAGUUAUCUUUUUGUUCUACAUGCAGCUGAGGAAACUAUGGUCCGAUUGGCAACCUGUGCCUCGAAUGCCACUAGAUGCUCCUCCAGACUUGAAUUCUUGUUUACUACAUCAGGAGAUGCAAGUCGUAAAUUGCUGCAUUGCCAGGAAAAAGCGAAGAAAAGCAGCUAAGGAGUCACUGGAUUCCUUGCUAAAGCAGGCAAAUAUCGAUAACUCAGAACCCAGGUUUUCGAAUGGGAAGUCUCCUGACAGUGAGGUGUGUGCAAGAGAUAGUACUGGUGAUUAUGUUCUUCGACUUGGUGCUGAUCGGGCAUCUGAGAACUUAACAUUGCUGGAGACUGGUGAGCUUAUCUAUGCCCCAACACUCCAGGUAAGAUGCUGCGUCGCUUUUCCAGAUCUGAAAGUCAUCUUUUGUAGUACUUCCUUUCAUUAUUUCUGAACUUGACAUAAUCUAUCUUCAGGAAGGCCCCAUCAUGACAGCAGAGCUUAUAAAAGAAACAGAGGAGCUUGUAUUACGAACAGGGAGGUAUGUCAAUCUUUCAUAUUUACCACUGUAUUUCUGGAAUGCCACUAGUUAAAUCUAAGGCAGUAGUUCAAUACUGAUCCAUGUAAUACAUUUCAGUUUUUAUUGGGGUGUCAUUGGCAACUGCUUCCUUUUGCAAAUCUGAUCCUUGUGCAGUCAUCCUAUAUCUUCAUUUCUGUCACUAAGUAAUAAAACAAUGUUUGUGAUGCUUUUUAUUAUUUCUCAGUCUUGGUGCUGGAUGCUCUCAACUUCUAUCAGACAUGCAGGCUUUCAAGGCAAGUUUAAAAAUGUUCUUCUCAGAGAAUACAAGGAUGUUAAUCUAAACUUACUAAACAAGAAAUUACUUUUUUCAUAACAGGCAGCAAAUCCUGGCUGUGUCCUGGAAGACUUUGUUAGAUGGCACUCUCCGCCUGAUUGGUCCGAAGAUUGUGCUGCAAACAGUACCACAGUAGGGGAAGGCUCAUCUAGACGUGGCCGAUUAAGUGAUAGAAUGCAAACAAAAGGUGAUAACUGAUAACUCUCUCUGUCUGUCUCUUCUGCAUGCCAACUUAUAAGCUUAAGUAUUUUCAUUUGAUGUGGUCUGGUUUUAUCUAGAAGGAAACUUGUGGAAGGAAUUGUGGGAGACUGCAAAACCCAUACCUGCUGUUGAACAAACUCCUAUAUAUGAUGAAGAUUUAGCUGUGUGAGUAGAAAAUUUAUUGACGAUUCAUUGUGUUGAAUCUUGACAUCAGUCAUAAAUUAUAAUGAAAUAAUAUAACCUUUUCAGGGAGAGCAUCUUUGAUGCGUUGGAAGUUAUUGAGCCAUCAAAACUGUUUGAGCAGCUACUUGCAGUCACUGUAAGUUCAAUGCCUGACCCCAUUUUUCUUAUCUCAUUUUUUUAGCUACCUUUCAAGUUCUGAUCUUAUUAUCUUUCGACAAUGCUAAUGCCUUGCUGAUUACUAUUUGUGAAUACCAGCUUUCUGUAUGCUUUGUGGCAGCAGAAUUGGUUCUAGCAGCAGAUAGCAACCUGUCAAAAUUAUUCUACGACUGUAAGGACUACAUAAUUGGCAUUUACCAAGAUGACAUGUCAAAAGACAAGCUAGAUGAGAUCUGCAAGGUAUUCUAUUUUUAUUUAUUCAUCCAGAAAUUGUAAUGCUGCAGUUGUAGUGUAGUAUGAACACACUAGUGACAUGCCAGGUGUACGAGACGAUGGAAGCCAUAGUAACCCACCCUGAAGAAGCUCUCCAGAUCAUGGAGCAACCUGACGAAAAGUCUAUUGAAAAUAAAAAUCGCUUCAAACUGAAGCUCAACUUUAUGACCAAAGAUCGCCCGCCACUCUGGAAGCGCACAUCAAAGGAUGAGAAGAAGAUGUCUCCAAAGGAUGACAAGAGUACAUCAGAGGAAAAGAACACGAAGAUAUUCUCGAACCUUUUUGACAAGAAGGUCAACAUAUUCUCUAAGAAGAAUGCAAAAUCAUUGGAGGUGCCGGUGGCACCACCUUCAACUUCGCAGGGGCCAUUUGAUGAGAGUGAGUGGACGAUUUUGUAGCUGAAAUUCCUGUCAGUCCUUUGUACAACUUGUAGAGAGAGGUGUCUCAAAGAUGUCUGUGAUAAGCUUAAGCUGUAAAUACUCAUCCAAUUCAUUGAACAUUUUGAAAUAAGAUGAAAAGAUGAAGAUUUUGAUGUGAUCUAAGCGUCUAGAGUCCCCGGUCAGCUUUGCACAUGCAGCUCUGCUCUUUUGAAUUGUUUACAUGUCAAUCCUAGAUUUUGGUGUAAAGUUUAGAUAAACAAAAUUAGAUGAUGGUGCUUAAAAUAAUUGUCAACUACUGUCACAAUUACUUUACAGGGCCAUGGAAAUAUCUCCAAAUUGUCUCAAAUCUUCAUUUUUAUUAUAAAAGGAGAUAUUUAGAGAGAAACAUGAUACUUACAAAUAGAAAUGGAAGACGAAGCUACAGAAUAAAAGGUUGACGAAGUUACAGAAUAAUACAAAUAGCUGCCCGUCAUCGCAUCGGGCAUUAAAAAAAAUAUCCACACAUAGAGCUUAGAAGCUCAGACAGACAAAGGAAACAAAUAUGGGACACUGAUAUAUGGAGUAGGUAUCUGAAAGCAAAUACGUAACCAUUUCACUGAGAAAAAAAUGAAUUCAUAUACCGGCGAACAAACAGCCCAUCAACAUAUACUGUCCAUAUGCUUGCUUAGUUGUUUCAUACUCUUGUGCCAGCGACUCCCACGUGCGCAGUUUUCGAGCUGCUCGAACCUUCGCCUUCGACGACUUUCGUACCGCCGCAGUUCAGAUGCCCUUUGCCGUUGACAGAACCACCCUUCAUAUCGCCUGUCAUGGUUCCAUUUGGACACGGAAGCUGGUCGACGGCGACAAGGGCUCUGCCAGCCGCAGCCGCUGGAGGCGCGACGGAGCACAGCUGCACGACGACGAUGCCGACCAGAGCAAGGAGCAGGACGGUGUUCCUGGCCAUGGCUGCCAUAUCACAAACUAGUCAAGCUAUCUAUGCCAAGCUGCAGGUAAAUGUGUGCAGAGCUAUGCUACUCGAACUCGAAAUGUGUGGUGUUUGAGCUGAUGGUGCUUACGAUGGUGUCAAGGGCAGCUAUAUAUAAGCUGAUCAGGCUCUCAAGUGCGGUGAUAAGUUAAGUGUGAGGGUUUAUUGAAAUGGAUCAUGCGAAUCUCAUGGAUGCAUUGUCAAAAGUCAGAAUGUCGUCGCCUCAUCCAUCGGCUUGGCAACAGCUGGAAAUAUGUAGUUCGCUUUAGGUUUUUUGCCAACUACACUGGCUUGCAAGUUGAUCAGGUAUUUGUCUUUCAAUGAUAGAUCAUGCUGUUGCCAACCACAUGAUGUCUAUUUUAAAUUAAUUUGAAUUUCUCUGUUGGAAUGUGGUUACAAAUUGUUCUCCUGAAAUUAGCUUUCCCGGAUAGUGGAGGUUAUGUGAAAAUGUGAAAUUCUGGGGUUGUUUCACAAAUAUAUGUUGGGAAAUGCCAUCAAAGUGGCAUGAGUACUUUGUUGUAAUCAGGAGGAAAAUAUUUGAUUUAGGACACGGAAAUGAGGCAGUGACAGUUAAAACGGUCGAUAGAAGUGGACAAAUCCUCAUGUGUAAAGAUGCACAUGGAGGUCAUUAUUGUUUCCUGAUCUAAAGAAAAAGGUUUGCUUGAUUAUCGGUGACCAUAGAACAUGUCUGUAAAUGGAUUUCAGAAUUUGAUUCUACGGUUCAUAUAAAACUCGUUCGCGUAUUAUGAACACCAUUAUAUUGUUAACCUCAUAUGAUGUAGUUUACAACUUUGUUUAGCAGCACCCGAACCGCUGGCACCAGAAGAGGCUCUGCUAACUGCUCACUGGUGUGCACGAUUGUUACAUCUAAAUGAAUCCUGGAGUUGCGGAAUGUGAUUACUACAUGCUUUGACAAUGAUUAAUGGUUUAGUGCCGUGCAUGAUCCCUUACUCAACAAGAUAUUGUUUUGUUCUCCUUUUCUUUUAUGGUGAAUUCCUUGAGCGUGGACUGACACUGAUGCAAUAUAUACUAAAACUCAACGCACAGCUAGGAGAAAGUUUGGAUAGGGAAUUUAUCAUCGUACUUCGUACUGGCGUCGAAAACCAUCAUGGAAGGCCGCAAAAAAUUAAAUACUCGAGGCUUAUUUUCUUUCAUGUUUUUUUUUCAGAUAUAGCAAUUGUGAUGUGCAUUGGUUUACCUUGUUGAGAUGAGUGAUGGAUGAUGGUUUCUGGGUUGGGAUUGCAAAGAAAAGGAAUUGCAAUUGCAGAGCUCUUGCUAAUCGUUUUUCAUUGCAAUUCAUCCCUUAUAUUUUAAUUAGUGCAAAUCAUUCCUUUAACUAAUUAAACUGGUGCACCAAUCAUUCCACCUUGGCUCACCCACGGUUUAGAGGUAUGCAGCUCUGGCAUCUAAACGAGGUUCUGUUGACAUCACUUCCUGGAGUUCAAGAACGUGCUCACUACGAGUCUACGACAUGCUUCAAGAUUGAUGGCCUUGCUCGAUCAAAGGUGUGCAUGGUCCCUUAUUUCAACCUGAAGUUUGUGUGGUCCCAUUUUUAUGAUUAAUUUUCUUAGCAUGGACUAAACACGUACUGAAGCAAUAUUUAUUAGUUUUUAAAAAAUCAAUGUGCGUUUAUGAGAGGUUCAAAUGGGUAGCACAACUCAGUUAGAUAGGUUUCUUGUGGCGAAAUUGUCUAAUUGGAUCGGAUAUGGGGUCUCGAAUCAGCAUAAGUGCUUACAUUUUUUUAGAUUUCUUUUAGGAAUUGACAACUCUUUUCUUUUGGUGGUAAGCAACGCGCUUGUCAAUAACAAAGCACCCAGUCGAUCUACCGGAAGUGCUUAUACCGAAAGUGCUUAUGGGAAUAUGGAGUACGGGUGAGUGUCUGUUUCUGUAAUGUGCAUGAUUUUUUCACGAUGAUGAUUAAUUAAGUUUAUUGUUGAGUAAACCAUGAGCUUUCUUUAGCGGAGGAAGGAAGGAAUGCAAUACGGGCCGGACCAACAAAUAAAGGCCAAACAAUGGCAAGCAAGGCAAGGCUGGCCAAACUUAUUACACACACAAUUACACAAACAUACACGCGGCAGAGACAUCAGGGUGCGUCAACAUGGAAGCCCGUGCCGAGUACCCGAGAGUCACCAGAGUCCACUACGAUCUCUCCGUCGUUGCUGGUGCACAGGCUGCCGCUCCCCACCCCGCCGGCGUUGCUGCCGUGUAUGUCGUUGCCGGCGAUGCCGACGUGGCUGGUGUCCAGGUUGAUUUUAUCGCCGGGGCUGGUGUCCAGGUUGAGUUUAGCGUUCGGGACCUUCAGCGGGCAAAAAGGCACGCCGAAGGCCAGCUGCGCGACGACGACGAGGAGCAGGACGGCGGCGGUGUUCCUGGUGGCCAUGGCAGCCGUCGAUCAAGCCCAGGGAAGCAGCUGAGGUGAUGCCGCUGCUUUACUUUGCUGUGGCGAGGAGGGCUACCUGUUCAGCAUAUAAAUACUGAAGCCGUGAAGCGUGCAGGCGAUGGUGCUGAGCGAGCGAUCAUGCUGGCGCGAUAGUCGUCGCAAGGCUUUAUUCAAAUGAAGGCUUUAUUCAAACGAUCAUCCGAAUCGCAUGCAUAUGGCCCUAUUAUUCUUAAAGAGAAGGCGAGCCAGUACAAUGCCCAUUUUGUACUAUGUUUAGUGAUCCACACACAGACGCAGGUACAUGUACAAGCUUUGUGAAAUGCACCUACUUCUGAGCACGACUACAGCUGUAUGUAUAUCCGACAUCUGGAACAAGAUCACUCACGAAGUCACGAUAUGUUUCUUUUUUUCUGAAGAGUAAUGGAUUUUCGAUCUCAUUAUUAGUGCUGCGCAUGAACGCUAGCUAGCUGAUUCAUCAACUAUAUAGAGAGAGUAUCGAUCCGUGUAGCACGGGCUAACAUAAUAAUUAUGGAGAAUAUAUUAAUACUCCCUCCGUCCUAAAUUAUAGAUCGUUUUGGUUUUUAGAUUCAUAGACUUUGUUGCAUUUAGAUAUAUAACCUAUGUCUAGAUGCAUAUAUAAUAAUAUCUAUGCAUCUAGAAAAGUUAAAAUGAUUGGAACGGAGGGAGUAGUAAAAAGCUUAUAUAAAAAUUGGCUUUAGUCCAGUUCUUACAUCUGAAAAAUAAGCAAGAUGUCAGAGGUUUGUUCAGUGAAUAAGGUUUAUAUUGAUCGCCCGUUGCUCUACCACCAUAAAUUCCUCACGGUUCCGUAAAUCUGUCAAAGCACAUUGAUCGAUUUCUGUAAAAGCAUCGAUCGACUUCUCCUUAUAUCUGUUGCGGGAAAUCGAUCAAAGCUAAAUUUCUUUGAGUGGUGGGCAUCUGCUGCCCAUCGCCAGCCCUCAAAAACAAAGAUGCCCUCAAAAACCUGACGUCCGCAGCCACAGGUUGUUCUCCACCUUUAUGACCAUUUAUAGUAAUAAAUAUAAGCAAAAAGCAAUCCAUGCAUUUAUGUUUGACUUUUUUGUACGUCGAUCACUCACUCCUUCUGAACACCAUUCAUCGCAAAUCCCCACAACCGCUCACCGAACGCAGGCCAUCGUCAAUUCGUCAUCAAUGGGCUCACUCCGUAUCCAUGCACGUCGCCGCGCAACCUGAAACCUCCUCCUACUCUCGCUCGGCACGGGCCCUUCCAUCCGCGUCCAACUAUAUAAGGCCGUCUUGUCGAUGGAGGAGGCAUCACUUGGCAUCAGAGUUCGAGCUAGUCCCUGGCUCCUGGCUAGCUAGGCAGCAUGCUGCGUUUGACAAUGCCUAGUGCUAGACGCCACAAUGCCCUCUUGCUUCUUCUCCUCCUUGGCAUGGUUUCCGAGCUGAGCACUGUUGCUCUCGCCAAUUUUGGCGGUCGACGGUUUGGCCGUGGUUGGUUCGACCGUCGCUGCUGGUUUGGCGGCCACCACCGCUUUGGAGGUGGUGGGUUUGGUGCAGGUGGCGGUCUCGGCAUUGGUCAUGGUGGUGGAUUAGGUGGAGGGUUUGGAGGAGGUGGUGGUAGCGGAUUGGGUGGACGCCAUGGUGGUGGUGUAGGUAUCGGCGGUGGGCUUGGAGGAGGCGGUGGUGGUGGAUUUGGAGGUGGUGUUGGUGGAGGCCUCGGUGGUGGACAUGGCGGAGGAUUUGGUGCUGGUGCAGGAAGUGGUGUGGGUGGAGGUCUCGGUGGGGGAGGAGGUUUUGGUGGUGGUGGUGGAGCAGGACUAGGCGGAGGACAUGGUGGAGGCUUCGGCGUAGGGGCUGGUGUGGGAGGUGGUGCUGGUGGAGGUCUUGCUGGCGGAGGAGGCUUUGGCGGUGGACAUGGAGGUGGCUUCGGUGCAGGGGGUGGUAUGGGAGGCGGUGCUGGUGGAGGUCUUGGUGGUGGAUAUGGAGGCGGCGGUUUCGGAGGUCGCGGUGUUUGAGGGGCAAGCUAUGCAUGCAUGAAGUGAUGUUUCUCGUGGGUUACAUGUGAUCAUGUCAGUCUAUCUUUGUUUAGCGCGUGUUUAAAUUGAGUUUCUGUUGUAUUAAGUGAUGAAUUCAGUGUGAACUAUAUGUUCACACCAUAUAACUGAUUUAGAGAUGCACGGUGUUAUGACGUGCGUAGAAACUGUAUUGUACUAUGUACUCUAAAUUUCUAGUGAAGAAUGAAGUGCCUAAUUCACUCAUUAAACCAGAGCUUAAUAGCUACUUGCAAAUUGCAAGACCAGUUGUUUUUUUUUAUCUUAUGUCAUAUUAGUUCAACCCUGUAUUUGUUGUAUCGUGUCAAAUAUCGAAACCUAUCGAAAGGCAUAUCUCUCGACCCUUUUCUUUUCCCUUCGCUACAGUAAAGAGCGGAGGCCACAUGCGAGUUCCUUGUCUCCAGAUUUGUUUCACUCGCUUCCCCCUCCUCUUCGGUCGUAGUAAGCAACUGGAUCUAUAUUUAGAAAAAGCUUAUUAAUUAAAAAAAUGAGCUAGCUUGUCCUAGAACACAGUAGUAGUAAGCAACUGCAUGCACUCUACGACUAAACUGGCCAGACCGUCUUAAAUGGGCCGGCAUGAGACCCGCGGAAUGGCACAGCCUCCCGAAUGCUAAUCGUGCCCAUGUUGGCCCAGUAUACUAAACGGACCGUGUCUGGCCCAAACGCCCCUCCUAACUUUGUGCCACUCCUGCCAAGCGUGAACCUCGAGUCAGCAGGUGUGUGUGACAUCGGACGAGGGCUCAAAUGGGUGGGCAAAGGGGUGGAGUGACAAGCUAGCCGAUGACAACAACGGACUCCAGCAAGGAUUGACGGGCGAAUGAGCGGAGUGGUGAGGAUGGGGGACUUUAGGAGCUCAAGCACCGCUGCCGUGCCGAGGGCCCAAGCUCGAUCGCCCCCUUUCGCCGCCGAGCUCAAGCCCUGUUACUGCUUCUUCUAUGGGAAGGGGGAGAGAGGGAGGUGGCCUGGCAUGUGGCAUGUCAGGUCCACGUCAAUGAACAGUCAUCAUGCUAUGCAGAGAAUUUAAUGUGAGGUAUGUAGAUUUGGACCUCACGCGAAUCGGUUAGCAAAUUUUGACAACCUAUUAUGUAUUUUAGGAGUUUGAGAAUUUGAAUGACACUUGAUACUAGUUUGAGGAGAGGCGGUACAUUUUACUACUUUUCAAACUUCUCUUCACUCCCCUCUAAAUGUCGACCUAAGCCAACUUAGAUCCAGCAAAAGAAAAAAUCGAAUUUUAUCCGUACUCAGAGAGUACACGAGAUCCUCCCAGAAAAGAGAGCUACUCCAGAAAGGAGAGCUACUCCAACGCGACUUUUCUUGGCCUCUGCUUGUUUGAGCUCCGCGGUCCGCUCAUGCCUCGGCAGCUCGGCGUCGGCGAGCAAGCGUUUAUGGCAAAAGUCAACCGGCGUUGACGAUCGACGCCGGAGGGGCCGGGCCGACCAGUUCUGCGGCCUGGUUGGCAGAUAGGAUCGAGCCGUGCGACCGGCCGGUGAUGCCCACUCUCUCGGGCACCCAUCAACGGCGCGUCCAUGGGCAAGGCAAGGCCGAGGCGGAUGGGAGCCUUCAAUGCGGCAGUAACUGCUCGUAUCUGCUAGCUCCUGGCGAGCCCCACGCGGCCAUGCUAUUGCGCGCGCGGCCAACCCAGAGGUUGCGACGCCACCCUGUUUCCAUGCGAGCAGAUCGACGAAGCAGCGAGCCCACAUUCAUGGUGAGUGCAAUUUGCGUGGCUUCAGCAACCUUGUUGUCGUGGAUGCAUGUCGACUUGGUCAACUCAAGAUGGAGAUUGGUCGUAUCGGCAUCAAUGCUAGCCGCUGGCCUCCUAUCAACGGUGGUAGCCGCGCAAACACAUUAUGAAAUACGCGUCCCAGUUGAACAGCAGCCGCUGAGCAGUAGCUGUGUUCUUGAGGUGGAGUAGAAGAGGUUUUAUAACCAUUAAAUAAUAGCAAUUUUGGUACGGUCAUUAUAAGGAUAAUAAGCAUAGAGGAGAGGGACUUUUCAUCACUAUGAAAACAGUCACAGUUAUAAAAUUCUAAACCUUAGUAACUAUGUCAUGAAAUUGUACAUUGAGACUGGCCUAAGACUAAGCAUGCUUAAUGCCGUACUACAGUAGCUGUGUAAAAUCCGAGUAGGCUUAAUGCAUUCCCAGUUUCUCAGUGUCAAGACUGUCAGUGGGAUGGUUCUCUAUGGCACAUCGGUGUCGAUAUAUGACAGUAACAAGCCUGUCUAAGGCCAUGGAAAACUCGUCAGAGGAUCUGUGCCCUGUGGUGAUUAUUAUCCGGCUUUGGAAGGCUAAUCUUUCAUGCCUGGCUAGCUGCAGGUAGUCUCAAACUCUGAGCCUGUUCGACUGGACUUAUAAGCCAGCUGAAAAGUUGAAACGGCCGAUUUGUUGUUAGAAAAAAAUAUUGUUCAGUGGCUGAUAAGCUGGCUAAUAAGUAAAAACGAACACCUAUCUCAUCACCAUUACCACUGUACUCUCCACUUAACAUGAGAACCCCUACUCUGUUUCAACUCUACGAAGCCACUGCUCGUACUGAUGAAAAUUAAUGGAGAAGAUGUCAUGGAACAGCAUUUCCGUCAAAGGAUAAGAGCGGUAGGCCAGCAUGCAUGCAAACACUUAAUGCUCUCCCUACCUCUCACCUGUCCGAAACGCGGCAACUCACGGGCAAGUUGAUGAUCGUCAACACUGUCGACACAGCACUAGACUACACUGAGUUCAUUGCCUUACACUCUUCUGCGCUCCCUCACUCCCUAUAUAAGCAUACGAGCUCCCGACUUUCAAACCAAGCAAGAAGAAAGCAGUCCACCUCAAGAACACAGCUACUGAUCAGCGGGGGCUAGCUAGCCAGCCAUUGCCGCCAUUUCCUGGAUGGCGAUGGCCGUCCACGUCAGGAAGCCGAUCUGCGCUCUCCUCCUCAUCGCCUUCCUCUGCUUGUCAUGCUCUGUUUCUGCUCACUCUCACUUUGAUGACGACUACGGGCCCGGCGGGUACGGCCAUGGGCCCAAAGGGUACGGACACGGGCCACGCUUCGGGCGUGGGCCGUUUGGCCGUGACUGCCGCUUCGGACGGUGCCGCGGCGGCGGUGGCGGCUUCGGAGGUGGUGGUGGAGCUGGGGGCGGCCUUGGCGGUGGCGGCGGGCUGGGCGGUGGAGGAGGUGGCGGUCUAGGUGGCGGGGGCGGUGGUGGCCUUGGAGGUGGAGGUGGUGCGGGAGGCGGCUUUGGUGGUGGCGUCGGAGGUGGAGGUGGCGCAGGAGGCGGGCUUGGUGGUGGAGGCGGUGGUGGCUUUGGAGGCGGCGGCGGCGGUGGACUCGGAGGAGGUGGUGGCAAAGGCGGCGGCUUUGGUGCCGGUGGUGGCGUGGGCGGUGGAGCUGGGGGCGGCGGCGGCCUUGGUGGCGGAGGAGGCGGCGGAAUGGGUGGCGGUGGAGGUGGUGGGCUUGGAGGAGGCUCAGGUGGAGGCUUUGGAGCGGGCGGUGGCGUAGGUGGUGGAGCCGGCGGAGGUGGCGGCCUUGGUGGCGGUGGAGGCGGAGGCAUGGGUGGCGGUGGAGGUGGUGGGCUUGGUGGCGGUAAAGGUGGAGGUUUUGGAGCCGGCGGUGGCAUGGGAGGUGGAGCCGGCGGAGGAGGCGGGCUUGGUGGUGGCGGUGGCGGCGGCAUGGGCGGUGGUGGUGGCGGUGGGAUGGGCGGUGGUGCCGGAGGAGGAUUCGGUGGCGGAGCAGGAGGUGGCGUUGGAGGAGGAGGUGGCCUUGGUGGUGGUGGCGGCGGCGGCAUGGGCGGUGGUGGAGGCGGUGGGAUGGGCGGUGGUGCCGGCGGCGGGUUCGGUGGCGGAGCGGGCGGAGGACUCGGUCAUGGAGGUGGUCUCGGCGGCGGCGGCGGACUUGGUGGCGGAGGCGGAGGCGGCCUCGGUGGUGGAGGCGCCGGUGGAGGUCUCGGGCACGGUGGGGGACUGGGCGGCGGCCUCGGGCACGGCGUUGGUCUGGGCGGAGGUGGCGGUGGCGGCCUCGGCAUCGGGAUUGGCGUCGGCGUGGGCGUCGGGAUGGGCGCCGGGGCAGGCGGCGGCGCCGGUGCGGGCGCUGGUGGCAGCGGGCGUUGAGCCGUCGUCGACGGGAAGAAGGUGUGCAUGCACGCAUGCAUGCGGCAUGCGCAAUGGACGAGCUUUUCCUUCCAAACCUCAGUAUGUUCCGCGCUCGUUACAACGUGGUUAAAUUACCGUUGGUUUCGACGUCUGGGUGUUUGCAGUGUAACUAGUCCGAGCUCAAAAAAAAAAAGAGCUAGAUAUUGUCGGUGUCAAGUGCUUGUGAUAAUUCAUGCAAAAAAAAAAGAGCCAAGUGAAUAAUAAUACUGCUGAUUUUUUUUGUCUAUCCAUCACUCGGUUGAUUUGGAUAGACAAAUAACCUAAAUAUACGGAGAAUAAAAAUUUGAGUGAUUUGUUGGCUGCGCUCACGUGAUUUGGGCAGCCAAAUCACCCAAAAAAAUCUGGGUACUAAAAUUUGAGUGAAACAAAGAAGUUGAUCAAUCAAAAUUGAAUAACACAGAAUUGCACAUAUAAACUAACCACAUAUAAAAUCAAUCAACCAAACCACAUAUAUGAAAACAGAUGAAGUAGAAAAAUACCCUAUGUACACAGAAUUCAAAAUACAUAAAAAUUACAUAUGUAGAAUAAAAAAAUUGCAUCCCACUGCCUAAAGUAAGAAUAGUAAAAAAGUAAUGUAAGAUAUAAAUGAGCAAGAAAAAUAUAUUGAACUUUGUAGGCUAGAUAGUAAUGGUCAGAGUGACACUGGCAAACCAAAGGUUAAUUCUGCAAUGAAAAAUGAAUAGCACACACAAAGAAUGAUCAUUGCCCUUAUUAAAUCAAGGGCAACAGAAAUGGAAGAUAAUAAAAUCAUAAUAUUGUAAGAACAGAGUACAAACGUACAUUAGACACUUAGUAAACUGAAUUGAAUCCAUGCUCUAAGAACAUAAUGCAAUCCAGUUGCUACACUAACUGAAGAACAAUUCUUGUUAAAGCUACUAAGAGAGAAAGAAACAUGCAAGAUAUUCUGAUAUUUAUACAAACCAACUGAGAUGAACAGUGCAAAAGCUAUAAUCAGUACCAAAAACAAAUUCACUUGCUGUUGUUGCUAAUUUAACCUAUUAAAGACACUGAAUAAGAAAGGAUAACUAGACCCAAUCAAGAAACAGAACAAGAACAAGCUGCAACUACACUUAAUCAAAGAAACCAAGCAAGAAACCCUAUACACAAAAUAGAAGAAGCAUACCAGGCAACCAAAUUCUAUUAUAUUUUUCAAGGCAUGCCUCUAUGGCUCCGCCAGUUCUCGUGCUCAUGCUCGGAGGCUGGGCGCCUACUUCUGGUCGGCGUGUCUUCGCGGCUCCGCCAGCCCUCGUACUCGGGGGCUGGACGCCUAUUUCAGGUCGGCGUGCCUCCAUAGCUCUGCUGGUCCUCGUACUUGGCGGCUAGGCGCCUAUUUCAGGUCAGAAUGCCUCCGCGGCUCCGCCGGUCCUCGUACUCGGGGGCUGGGCACCUAUUUUAGGUUGGCGUGCCUCUACAGCUCCGUCAGUCCUCAUACUCAGGGGCUGGGCGCUUAUUUCUGGACGACACGCCUUUGCGGCUCCGCCAGUCCUCACGCUCAUGCUCGGGGGCUGGGCGCCUAUUUUAGGUCGACGAGCCUCCGUGGCUCCACUAGUCCUCAUGCUCAUGCUCGGGGGCUGGGCACCUACUUCUGGUCGGCGUGCCUUCGUGGCUUCUCCUAUCCUUGUGCUCGGGAACUAGGACCUGCUUCUGGGAUCUUUUUUUCUUUUUGACCAUUGGACCAAUUAUACUAAUCGCUUCAAUGCUCGGGGGCUACUCCGUAUGGAAUGCGUCUUGCGACACCCUCCAUGUCCUUCACUUCGACCUGCUAGAUGCCCGACAUCCAUCAACUCAGCACUCGACUUUGCUCUGCGCGUAUGGCUCUGCGUUCGCUCGGAUUUUCUUCUUUUUUGAGCACUGCGCAGCCUCUCCAUCACUAUGACGCCAUCGCAGUUUCAGCCGAUCACAUUCCAAGCUUCACUGUGAUGUCCUCAUGUUCCUAUUCACCUACAUAUUGCUCGGGGGCUUGAUGGAUAUGGGUACCCCAUGGGUCCCCAUCGACCAGGAUACUGGUCGUUCCUGACAAGUGGGUUCGCCCGACCAGAACAUGCAGGCCAAGGACGUGAAGAUACUUGGAGCACAAGUUAAGGAGGUCGGGCGAUUCAAAUCAGUCCAGAUAUUGCGGGAUACGUGUUGUAAUCCGACUCAGAUUGCUUUUCAUGUAACAACCGGCUAGAUUAUGUUCAAACCGACUUGUAACCCUAGGUUGUUAGCCCAUAUAAGGCGGCCAAGGGCGCCUCCCGAGGGCAACCCAUCGAAGCUAUCCCACGCACCAGCGUAAAGCAAUACAAUCUAGCAAAACACAGGACGUAGGGUAUUACUCUCCGGAAGCCCGAACCUGUUUAAACCCUCGUGUUCUCAUGAUCACCUUCAAGUUCUUGGUCUCGCAGUCCUCCCUGCCUACAAAUCAACCACUUGGGUAACCCCUGGUGGACUGUCAAGCUACUAAAUCCGACAUAAGGCAAGCUCCCAUCACACACCCAAACUGUUGGAUCGAAAUCGCGCGCUAAGAAAUCUCGAAAAAAUCGCAAAGGGGUGAGGGGAUCAAGAAAAAACAAGCGAUUCCGUGGUGACUACUCAACCAAACACCAUAUCAGUAGGAACAAAAUCUAAAAAAGCUCGAAGAACUCACCAGAGCGGCAGGAACCCUAGAAACGCUCGCAUCCUCGGCGAGCUCGAAGUGAGAGGAAGGGGAACAAAAUGAGGAACCCGAAGCGAAAGAGACGAGAAGCAGAGGAGAGAAAAAAAUUAGCGUGGAUUCCCAAAUCAAACAGUGCUCGCUGACACGUGGGACCUAGCAGUCAGGGAUAAAAAAACAACACGAGAGAGGAGAUGGUGGAGCACACAGAUCAAACGGCACAUAAAUCGUGAGUAGAGGCCACAAAUCACUUGGGUGAUAUAUAGCUUUUCGUAUUUUUCACAUGUAUCUUGUUCAAUGGAUGGAGCCACAGCUAGAGAAGUCUCUUCGCAACUGGUACUGCUAUAACCGGUACUAAAAGUAAAAAAUUUGACAAACAACACCCGAGAGGCUCCCGCACACGCCAGCACAAGUCAUGCGAUUUUCACUCAUAAUAUGCCCGUGCUCGGCCUGUGGGAUUCGAAUCCACAACCUCUAGCCUCACGUGAGCCUUCCUUACCAUCUCACCUACAUAACAUAUGUGAUGGAGUUAGAUAUGUUUUCCUUUUGAAGGAGAGGGUCGUAAUACCAUCCUAUACUAAAAGGUACACGGUAAGGUACCGGGCAGUAUUACGACACGGUACUAAAGCCACAAGGAACUUUAAUAUCGGGUCAUAAAACCAUCCAGUACUAAAAGGAGGUCCUUCAGGGAUCCCCAAAUUUAGAUCGAUAGUAUCGGGAGUGGGUUAAAAAGUGACCGAUACACAGGCACGAGAUGAAAAGGCGUUUGAGCUUCUGUGCUGUCUGUGCAUGACGAUCUUCCUUUGUUUCUGUGCAUUUUGUCAUCUUUCUUCAGUUCUUAUCUGUAUCUGUUUCAACUGGGAAGUGGGAACAAUUGAUCAUUGGGCUGCCGGAGGAGAUAGAAGCUGCACGUCAACUGGUCAGACUCGUGAAGGCAUGCACAUGCACAGCGGGCGAGGGGGGCAGGGCCUCAGGGCGCAGGGGAGUGCAUGGGCAGCGGCUCGAAUCGGUCGCUGGUCGUAAAUGCUUGGGGAAUGGAAUCGUGCCGUCGGUCACCUACCAGAUUCAUUAUUGGCAGCAGACAGUUUGCCGGAGCCGACGGCGGCGGCGGACGCCGGCGCUAUCAGCGGCGGAAACUGUAUCCUGGUCCUCACUGAUGCUGUGAUGGCAGCGACCAGCAAGGAGGAAGAAGGUGUUUGUAUCUUUAAUCCCGACUAAAAUUCAUGUCACAUCGAAUCUAUGAAGGCUAACUAAAUAUGAGCUAAUUAUAAAAUUAAUUAUACAUAUGGAGGCUAAUUCACGAGACGAAUGUUUACUAUUACUAAUUGGAGGCUCCUUUUGAAGCCUCCGGGUGAAGCUACCUAGAAUUCCUAGGUGGACAAUCUAGAAAAAGAGAGAAAUCUUGGAAAUUCUCGCAAAAAAGCAAAACAUCGGACCAUCACUAUUACUAAUUGGAGGCUUCUUUUCAAACCUCCGGGUGAAGCCACCUAGGAUUCCUAGGUGGACAAUCUAGAAAAAGAGAGAAAUCCUGGAAAUUCUCGCAAAAAAGCAAAACAUCGUACCAUCAAUCGGUAGAUUCAAAUCAUCAUAGUCAUUGGAUCUAUUAUAUUUUCUAAAAAAUUACCCACCUAUACCAUUAUGAAAAUAGCCUAAAAUAACCCCCUAAUUCUAUAUAUAAAAUACCCACCUCUGCCAUUAUAUAAAAUAAACUAAAGUAACUCCCUAAUCUUCAUCCAAAUUACCUACUUAUGCCAUUAUAAACAAUAUUUAAAAUAACCCCCUAAUUUGCAAUUGAAUUGCCUACCACUAUUAUUUAAAAAGUUACCCACCACUGUCAUGGUGAAAAUAUUAAAACAUAAGCUCUAAACCUAUAUCUAAAUUACCGAGCUCAGCUAUUAUAAAAAAUAAUCUAAAGUAACCCCGUAAUCUUCAUCCAAUUUACUUAUACACAUCAUUAUAAAGCAUAACUUAAAAUGUCAUUCUAAAAUUUUAUCUAUGUUACCCACGUGUGUCGUUAUUAAAAAUAACCUAAAGUAAACACCUAAAUAUUAAUCUAAUUAUCUUCAUGCGCAUCAUACAAAAAUAUCAAAAAGUAAAAUAAUAUAUGAUUCUAAAUUACCUAUUUAUUUCAUUAUUAAUAUAAAAUACUAAGUUAAAGUAUAUACGCAUGAUGAGUGCCACCAUUUAGACCAUUUAUACAUGUAUGUGAGGAAUCGAUGAAAAAUAUUAAUUUGUAUGCUAAACAUAAUAUAUGGAGGAUUGGAGGUGUGAUACAAUACGAAUAUGGAUGAAAACGUGCAUAGAGUAAUUAUUAAUUAAAAAACAAUCACAACUGGACAAAGAUAGGUCCAUAUCUAUAUAAGUAUUAUAUUGAAGUAUUGAAAAAUAAGAGAGUAGUAGGUAAACAAUUUUGAUUAUUAGCUAGAAGUUUAAUUUCUAAAUAAUUUUCAAAUACAAUAGCUUCUAAAAAUAUUAGCCCGUGCGGGAGCACUGGUUGAUGGACUAGUUAAGCCUAAUUAAUCCAUCAUUAGCACAUGUUUACUGUAGCAUCACAUUGUCAAAUCAUGGACUAAUUAGGCUUAAUAGAUUCGUCUCGCAAAUUAGUCUCCAUCUGUGCAAUUGGUUUUGUAAUUAGUCUAUAUUUGAUACUUUUGAUUAGUAUCUAAACAUUCGAUGUGACAUAAAUUUUAGGAGUGACUAAAGAAACAAACAGCCCCUGAACCUUUGCUCUGCUGUUUCCUGCUAGUUCUUCCCCAACUUCUUCACUGAACGUAUGCAUGAAGCAUUUUCUGUACAUGACGAUCUUCAUUCGUUCCGUGCAUUUUCUGAAACCUGUGUCAUCAAAAAGGGAAGAAGCUUGUGGUCGCUGAAUGAAGUACUUGUUGCGAGCAAGAAAAUAAACCAAAUGAAGCCAUCUUGAAAUUUUUGCUUAAUAUCUGGUUCAUAUAUAGCACAUCUGCCUCAAUCUUGCCAAGCUAUUUUGAGGGCAAGUGGGAGGAGAGAGCCGUUUUGCAGAGAUGACAUGCAUGAACAUGCAAAUCCAAGCUUUAUUUGAGGAGAAAUGGAAGAUAAUCUGUGACAGGGCUGGAUAAGAAGAACAAAUAAUGCGUCGUUCUUGCUCAAGAAACAAACUUUUGGGUUGCUAGUCAGCACUCAGCACCACGAGUCGGUGGUAAUAUCCGCCUGCGCGGUGUACCUGAAGAACACACUACUACACAAGGACACAGGAGCUCAAUCAAUUGUGCAUGUGCGGUGGAUCCGAUGACGCCGGAGUCUGUCGAGCUCGUGCCGACGCUCCGCCUGCCGCCCAAUAAGACACCUUGGCCGGCGUUGAUGCCACGCUCGUCGACGGCACCGAGUGUAGAGUUGAUGCCCCAGCCUGCUGUCCCGCCUAUCUCUGCGCCGGCCUGUCCAGCGAUGCUCCCGACACCUCGGGCGACCUGGCUGCCGGCGGCGACCGCUUCAUGGCGCACAAGGUCAGCUCCCCCGCCGCUGCCUGGACCUGCUUGCGUGCUGCUCGGCCAGCGCUCCACCGGCUGCUCCCACAGGAGGCGGGAGGGAGCACAACUGCACGACGACGACGCCGGCCAGAACAAGGAGCAGGGCGACGGUGUUCCUGGCCAAUGGCAGCCGUCAGAUGCGUGGGUGUAUGAGCUGAUGGUUCUUCUUGCAGCGCCUUAGAAGAAGCUGUGGGUGUUACCUGUCACAAAGGCUUUAAUAAAAGUGAUCAUCCGGAUCGCAUGGUUGUAUUAUUGUUAAAUUAGAGUAGCAACCAUGUAGCUGUUGCCAACAACACACAUGUUCCGUUGAUAUUCUCAUCACAGUUUGCCGAAAGGGAAUGAUCAGCUGGUUUUCUUGUGGACUGGGUUAUUGUUUUCUUUUUUUCAAGAAAUUAAAGACCUGACAACUAUCAGGGAAUCAAGCACGUAUGUGCAUUUCUAUGAACAUGCCCGGCAGGUGUUUCCCUCUCUCUUUUUUGGAUGUAUUUGUAUUCAAUCUCCCUUUUUAUAUGAAAAGCAUGUUUUACCAUUAUUCAUGCCCCAACUAUGUCAAUCCAUGCUUCACUUGCAGCAAUGGAUGAUAAUUCUGUAACGCGGGUGGAUAAGAAUGAAAACACUUUGGGCACCACAACUUGUGCGUGGCGAAAGAAACAGCAGCAAAUAAAUCCCAUGGGUAGGUUCAUACACGUACGCCCCAUUUCGCUUUCCGUCCCAUCUUCCAGCACCUGACCCAAAACGCGUUACACGACAACAAAACAUCUUGGCACAAAUAUUGCAUGAGAAAUUGAGAGCACGGGUAUGAACAAACAUGAAACUUGUAUAAGUUGCUGUCCUCAAACCAAGAACAGGAUUACAACCAAACAACACGCUAGGCCAGAUAGACAGCCUUUAUUUUAUUCAAACUCCAUACAUUGGUAGCUUACCAUAGGACAAACAAUGGCUCCUUACACAUUGCACAUUUCCGACAAACUUAUACCAUGAGUGUGUGUAACUUGAAAUUGACCUCGCACGAAAAAAAAAUACACUGAUACAACAAUCAAUUGCGUGUGGUGGAUGCAGCGGCACCGGGGGCUGUUGAGACCUUCCCUUUGGGGCCGGUCAAGGUACCAGCCAAGCCUGGGUCGUUGAGGUCCUGGAAGCCGCCGGCAAUUAUGCGCACCAGGCCCUGAGCUUCCCUGUUGACGGCACUACCGGCAUCCAGGACCUGAGCUUCCCUGACGCUGCCUGAGUCCACUUGCUGUUCGGCCAGCUUUCUACCGGCGGCUGCCACCGGAGGAGUGAGGGAGCACAGCUGCACGACGACGCCGGCCAGAACAAGGAGCAGGACGACGGAGUUCCGGGCCAUGGCAGCCAUCAGAAACUAACUGCAAUAUAUGUGUGAUGUGUGGAUGUUUGAGUUGGUUGCUUCGCUGUUUUGCAGUGUCGUCGAGCUGAGGGCUGCCUCCUUUUAUAGAAGUGCAGAGAGGCGCAGGGGGUCAAGCUGAAGCUGGCGUUUAGCAGUUGGAAGGCUUCAAUAAAAGUGGCCAUCUG